AGGGACUGGCACGCCGGACCGGUUAUUUGGGGAAGUGAAUCGCGACACCUUUGCAGAUGGCAUGGCCCUGUUUUUCAACGCAAACGGGAGGAGGGAAGACGGCCGGAUGGAGGGGGAGACCAGAGGAAGGGGCCCAAUUUGUUUCUGUGGCAUGCCAACCUCACACCUUUCCUUCCUGUUUGGCAUCAAGAGAGGGAAGUCGCUUUUUCAUGUCUGUAUGGCCACAUUCACUUGUUAUGUAAGUCGGCUGUGGUUGAUGUUCUGUUUAGAGUGGCUAUUGGGUUUGAAAAUUGGUAUCUGGUUAUAACAUCCUCAUAAAGAAAAAUUCCAUGCACAACGUGAGGAAGCUUGUAAUCCCACCAGGCAACUGGUAAUGCUGGCUGAAAUGUUGCCUAGCUUCAAAUAGGAGCAAGUCAGACACUUAGGGAAUGAAUACUU
rnacentral:lncRNA from 1 species